rnacentral:rRNA from 1 species
UACGAAGGGGGCUAGCGUUGCUCGGAAUCACUGGGCGUAAAGCGCACGUAGGCGGCUUUCUAAGUCAGGGGUGAAAUCCUGGAGCUCAACUCCAGAACUGCCUUUGAUACUGGAGAGCUUGAGUCCGGGAGAGGUGAGUGGAACUCCGAGUGUAGAGGUAGAAAUUCGUAGAUAUUCGGAAGAACACCAGUGGCGAAGGCGGCUCACUGGCCCGGUACUGACGCUGAGGUGCGAAAGCGUGGGAGCAACAGG